rnacentral:rRNA from 1 species
CCUCGCCUUAGUUGCCAGCAUUUGGUUGGGCACUCUAAGGGGACUGCCGGUGAUAAGCCGAGAGGAAGGUGGGGAUGACGUCAAGUCCUCAUGGCCCUUACGGGCUGGGCUACNCACGUGCUACAAUGGUGGUGACAGUGGGCAUCGAGACCGCGAGGUCGAGCUAAUCUCCAAAAGCCAUCUCAGUUCGGAUUGCACUCUGCAACUCGAGUGCAUGAAAUUGGAAUCGCUAGUAAUCGCAGAUCACCAUGCUGCGGUGAAUACGUUCCCGGGCCUUGUACACACCGCCCGUCNCACCAUGGGAGUUGGUUCUACCCGAAGGUANUGCGCUAACCGCAAGGAGGCAGCUGACCACGGUAGGGUCAGCGACUGGGGUGAAGUCGUAACAAGGUAGCCGUA